AUUGAACGCUGGCGGCAUGCCUAACACAUGCAAGUCGAGCGAGCGGCGGACGGGUGAGGAAUGGCUGGGAACCUGCGUGAUGGAGGGGGAUAACUAGUGGAAACGGUAGCUAAUACCGCAUACCAUCAGAUGUGCCCAGAUGGGAUUAGCUAGUGGGUGGGGUAAUGGCUCACCUAGGCGACGAUCCCUAGCUGGUCUGAGAGGAUGACCAGCCACACUGGGACUGAGACACGGUCCAGACUCCUACGGGAGGCAGCAGUGGGGAAUAUUGCACAAUGGGCGCAAGCCUGAUGCAGCCAUGCCGCGUGUGUGAAGAAGGCCUUCGGGUUGUAAAGCACUUUCGGCGGGGAGGCGUUACCCGCCGAAGAAGCACCGGCUAACUCCGUGCCAGCCGCCGCGGUAAUUC
rnacentral:rRNA from 1 species